CCCUUUACAAAACAAAAAUCAAACUUCAAAAUUUUAUUAGACAAGAAAAUUUUCACACCAAAUAAGUUUUUAUUCUGACAUCCGAAUAAAACCUAAGACACUAUUUGAAUGUCAGAAUAAAUUAUCCAAGAAUAACAUAUUUGGCAUAAGAAUUUUCUAGCAUUAUUGGAAGUAGGAAGUUUGAUUUGUUAAGUUUUUGAAAGGUCUUGAUAUCCGUGAUUUAAUAGAAUUGCAUAUUUCGCCUAUGAAAUGAUUUAUCUUAUUCUUCAAAAAAUAACUUUAAUGCUGAAUAUGGUAUUUUAUUCUAAAUAUUUAAAUCACACUUCUCAUUUGGACGAUGUAGAAAUUUUUUAAGUAAAUCAAAAUAAUAUACUGAAUAAAAUAUUUAUGCAUCCAAAUAAAGUUUAAUAGUUUUAAUAGGAAUGCUGAGAUUUUUAUCCGAACCUAAUUGAGCAGAUUUAAUCGAUACCAAACUGUUAUAGUUUCAAUUGUUGGAAAAUCUUUCAGAUCUUUUAUUACAAUACUCUUUAAAAAUAACUCGAAAAUUCAAUUUAAGCUAUAGAAAAAUUCCGAAAUAAAAUUAAACAAAAAUAUUGUAAAGAUAAGGUUUAGAUAAGGCCUGUGAAUCGAGGCGUGCAGAGCACUGUUCUAGAAGCGAAAUUGCCCCUCCACGUGCGAGGCUUCCCGGCAAUUACUCCUAGCGAUACAAUGACCACGUUCAACCCCGUCAGCACUCUUUCAAGAUGGUGCAAGAUGAAUCCAACCAGCUUCAGAUCCAGCAACAAAAACUCGGCGAAAAUUAAUAGCGAGAAAGUAGAAAAAGACGAGAGGGUUUAGGUAUGCUCGGGUUAUUAUUAUUUAUAAACUCGUGCAACCUCGCCCCAUAUUUAUAAUCAAAGGCGGGAAUCUUGUUCUAUCGCGUUAAAUCCGAAUAGAACAAGAUAAGUCUAAGAUUAUAUGAAAAAGAUUAGGAUUAGAAUAAAGACAAAGAUAAGGAUUAAAAUAAAGAUAAAAUCGAAAAAUAAAAUCUUAACAAGUUUUAAAUCACAAAACAUCCAAUAACCCAAUAAAAUCCAAUAUUCUCCCACAUGAUUUAAAACUUGAAAUAAAGAAAGUAAAUAAACUGAAAUUCAAAAUAAUUCAAAAGAUUGCUGGAUUUUUUAUACCAUGCAUUCGGUAAAGGUACAUUUCGGGUUUGAACCUUCACUUAGCGCUUGUCAAUGUACAU
rnacentral:lncRNA from 1 species